rnacentral:rRNA from 1 species
AGAGUUUGAUCCUGGCUCAGAGCGAACGCUGGCGGCAGGCCUAACACAUGCAAGUCGAGCGGCCGUAGCAAUACGGCAGCGGCAGACGGGAGAGUAACACGUGGGAACGCGCCCUUCGGUUCGGGAUAACUCAGGGAAACCUGGGCUAAUACCGGAUACGCCCUUACGGGGAAAGAUUUAUUGCCGAAGGAACGGCCCGCGUCCGAUUAGCUUGUUGGUGAGGUAACGGCUCACCAAGGCGACGAUCGGUAGCUGGUCUGAGAGGAUGACCAGCCUCACUGGGACUGAGACACGGCCCAGACUCCUACGGGAGGCAGCAGUGGGGAAUAUUGGACAAUGGGCGCAAGCCUGAUCCAGCCAUGCCGCGUGGGUGAUGAAGGCCCUAGGGUUGUAAAGCCCUUUCGGCGGGGAAGAUAAUGACGGUACCCGCAGAAGAAGCCCCAGCUAACUUCGUGCCAGCCGCCGCGGUAAUAC